CUCGUAGGCGGUCUGUCGCGUCUGCUGUGAAAACUCGGGGCUUAACCCCGGGCCUGCAGUGGGUACGGGCAGACUAGAGUGCGGUAGGGGAGACUGGAAUUCCUGGUGUAGCGGUGAAAUGCGCAGAUAUCAGGAGGAACACCGGUGGCGAAGGCGGGUCUCUGGGCCGUAACUGACGCUGAGGAGCGAAAGCAUGGGGAGCGAACAGGAUUAGAUACCCUGGUAGUCCAUGCCGUAAACGUUGGGCGCUAGGUGUGGGGCUCUUUCCACGAGUUCCGUGCCGCAGCUAACGCAUUAAGCGCCCCGCCUGGGGAGUACGGCCGCAAGGCUAAA
rnacentral:rRNA from 1 species